rnacentral:rRNA from 1 species
GAUGAACGCUGGCGGCGUGCCUAAUACAUGCAAGUCGAGCGAACAGACGAGGAGCUUGCUCCUCUGAUGUUAGCGGCGGACGGGUGAGUAACACGUGGAUAACCUACCUAUAAGACUGGGAUAACUUCGGGAAACCGGAGCUAAUACCGGAUAAUAUAUUGAACCGCAUGGUUCAAUAGUGAAAGACGGUUUUGCUGUCACUUAUAGAUGGAUCCGCGCUGCAUUAGCUAGUUGGUAAGGUAACGGCUUACCAAGGCGACGAUGCAUAGCCGACCUGAGAGGGUGAUCGGCCACACUGGAACUGAGACACGGUCCAGACUCCUACGGGAGGCAGCAGUAGGGAAUCUUCCGCAAUGGGCGAAAGCCUGACGGAGCAACGCCGCGUGAGUGAUGAAGGUCUUCGGAUCGUAAAACUCUGUUAUUAGGGAAGAACAAAUGUGUAAGUAACUAUGCACAUCUUGACGGUACCUAAUCAGAAAGCCACGGCUAACUACGUG